UACGUAGGGUGCGAGCGUUAAUCGGAAUUACUGGGCGUAAAGCGUGCGCAGGCGGUUCGCUAAGACCGAUGUGAAAUGCCCGGGCUUAACCUGGGAACUGCAUUUGUGACUGCACGGCUAGAGUUUGGCAGAGGGGGGUAGAAUUCCACGUGUAGCAGUGAAAUGCGUAGAGAUGUGGAGGAACACCGAUGGCGAAGGCAGCCCCCUGGGUCAAAACUGACGCUCAUGCACGAAAGCGUGGGGAGCAAACAGG
rnacentral:rRNA from 1 species